UGAAUUAUAAUUUUUGUUGGUUGGGAAAAAGACACACAUACGUGACAGUGCAUCACUUCACCUCAUCAUUUCAUUUCAUCUCAUCAUUUUAUCUCAUCAUUUCAUCUUAUCCCAUCUCAUCUCAUCAUUUCAUAUCAUCUCAUCAUUUCAUCUCAUCAUUUCAUCAAAUCUCAUCUCAUCUCAUUUCCAUUUCAUUUUCAUUAUUUCAUUUCAUCAUUUCAUUUCACUAUUUCAUUUCAUCUAAUUUCAUUUAUUUCAUUAUGUCAUUUCAUAUAUUUCAUUUCAUGUCAUGUUUUUGAUAUCAUUUUUCAUAUCAUUUUUCAUCUCAUCAUCUCAUCUCAUCUCAUCAUUUCAUCUCAUCUCAUCAUUUCCUCCUUUCUUUUCAACAUUUCAUCUCAUUUCUUCUCAUCUCAUUUUAAUUUUAUUUCAUUAUUUCAUCUCAUUUCAUUAUUUCACCUAAUUUCAUUAUUUCAUCACAUCUCAUCUCAUCUCAUCAUUUCCUCCUUUCUUUUCAACAUUUCAUCUCAUUUCUUCUCAUCUCAUUUUAAUUUUAUUUCAUUAUUUCAUCUCAUUUCAUUAUUUCACCUAAUUUCAUUAUUUCGUCUCAUCUCAUCUCAUCUCAAUUCGUCUCAUCUCAUCACAUCAUUUUUCAUCUCAUCAUUUUUCAUCUCAUCAUUUAAUCUCAUUUCAUUUCAUUUCAUCUCAUCAUUUCAGCUCAUCAUUUCAUGUCACAUCAUUUCAUUUCAACAUUUCAUUUCAUCUCAUCAUUUCAUCUCAUCUCAUCUUCCAAUUUCAUUUCAAUAUCAUCAAUUCAUCAUUUCAUCCCAUCAUUUCAUCUCAUCAUUUUUCAUCUCAUCAUCUCAUCAUUUCAUCAUUUCUUCAUCUCAUUUCUUCUCAUUUCAUCUCAUUUCAAUUUCAUUUCAUUAUUUCAUUUCAUUUCACUUCAUUUCAUUUCAUCUCAUCAUUUUAUCUCAUCUCAUUUCAUCAAAUCAUUUCUUCUCAUCUCAUCUCAUUUCAUCAUUUCAUCUCGUUUCACCUCAUUUCAUCUCAUCUCACCUCAUCUCAUCAUUUCAUCUCAUCAUUUCAUCUCAUUCUUUCAUUUCAUCUCAUCGUUUCAUCUCCUCAUUUCAUCUCAUCUCACCUCAGCAUUUCAUCAUUUCAUCUCAUCAUUUAUUUCAUCUCAUUUCAUCUCAUAUCUCAGUUCAAUUUCCUUUCAUUAUUUCAUUUCAUCUCAUUUCAUUACAUCUCAUCAUUUCCUCUCAUCAUUACAUCUCAUCUCAUCAUUUCAUCUCAUCAUUGCAUCUCAUCAUUUCAUCUCAUCAUUCAUCUCGUCAUUUCAUCUCAUCAUUUCCAUUUCAUUUCCAUUUCAUUAUUUCAUUUCAUCAUUUAAUUUCAUCAUCUCAUUUAAUUUCACCUCAUUUCAUUAUUUCAUUUCAUUUUUUCAUUUCAUUAUGUCAUUUCAUUUCAUCUCAUUACAUUUCAUCUAAUUUCAUUUCACCUCAUUUCAUCUCAUCAUUUCUUCUCUUUUCAUCUCAUUUCAUCUCAUCAUUUCAUCUCAUAUCUCAAUUCAAUUUCCUUUCAUUAUUUCAUCUCAUUCAUUUCAUCUCAUUUCAUUACAUCUCAUCAUUUCCUCUCAUCAUUACAUCUCAUCUCAUCUCAUCAUUUCAUCAUUUCAUCUCAUCAUUGCAUCUCAUCAUUUCAUCUCAUUUCAUCUCAUCAUUCAUCUCGUCAUUUCAUCUCAUCAUUUCCAUUUCAUUAUUUCAUUUCAUCAUUUAA
rnacentral:lncRNA from 1 species